AGAGUGAACGCUGGCGGCAGGCCUAACACAUGCAAGUCGAACGGCAGCACAGUAAGAGCUUGCUCUUAUGGGUGGCGAGUGGCGGACGGGUGAGGAAUACAUCGGAAUCUGCCUAUUUGUGGGGGAUAACGUAGGGAAACUUACGCUAAUACCGCAUACGACCUACGGGUGAAAGCGGAGGACCUUCGGGCUUCGCGCAGAUAGAUGAGCCGAUGUCGGAUUAGCUAGUUGGUGGGGUAAAGCCC
rnacentral:rRNA from 1 species